AGCAGCCGCGGUAAUUCCAGCUCCAAUAGCGUAUAUUAAAGUUGUUGCAGUUAAAAAGCUCGUAGUUGAAUUUCGGGAUCAGUACGCUGGUCGUGCCUUUGGUAUGUACUGGUGUCACUGAUUCCUCCCUUCUGAAGAACCGUUAUGCCAUUUAUUUGGUGUGGCGGGGAAUCAGGACUGUUACUUUGAAAAAAUUAGAGUGUUUAAAGCAGGCUCGCGCUUGAAUACAUUAGCAUGGAAUAAUGAAAUAGGACGUUUGAUCUUAUUUUGUUGGUUUCUAGGAUCGACGUAAUGAUUAAUAGGGAUAGUUGGGGGCAUUAGUAUUCAAUUGUCAGAGGUGAAAUUCUUGGAUUUAUUGAAGACUAACUACUGCGAAAGCAUUUGCCAAGGAUGUUUUCAUUAAUCAAGAACGAAAGUUAGGGGAUCGAAGACGAUCAGAUACCGUCGUAGUCUUAACCAUAAACUAUGCCGACUAGGGAUCGGAUGAUGUUAAUUUUUAACUGAC
rnacentral:rRNA from 1 species